GGCAGUUUCGGAUAGUGUCGGAGGGUGAGUACGCGUGAGAUCUGCCUCUAUGAGGGGGAUAACGGUUGGAAACAACCGCUAACACCCAAUGUGCCGCAAGGUGAAAAAUUUAUUGCCUGGAGAGGAGCUCGCGUCUGAUUAGCUAGUUGGUAAGGUAAGAGCUUACCACGGCAUCGAUCAGUAGCUGGUCUGAGAGGAUGAGCAGCCACACUGGGACUGAGACACGGCCCAAACUCCUACGGGAGGUAGCAGUGGGGAAUUUUCCGCAAUGGGCGAAAGCCUGACGGAGCAAUACCGCGUGAGGGAGGAAUGCCUUUGGGUUGUAAACCUCUUUUCUCAAGGAAGAAGAUCUGACGGUACCUGAAGAAUAAUCAUCGGCUAACUCCGUGCCAGCAGCCGCGGUAAUACGGAGGAUGCAAGCGUUAUCCGGAAUUAUUGGGCGUAAAGCGUCCGCAGGUGGUUUUCAAAGUCCGCUGUUAAAGACUGGAGCUCAACUCCGGAAAGGCGGUGGAAACUUGAGAACUAGAGUUUGGUAGGGGUAGCAGGAAUUCCCAGUGUAGCGGUGAAAUGCGUAGAUAUUGGGAAGAACAUCGGUGGCGAAGGCGUGCUACUGGACCAUAACUGACACUCAGGGACGAAAGCUAGGGGAG
rnacentral:rRNA from 1 species